UACGGGGGGGGCAAGCGUUGUUCGGAAUUACUGGGCGUAAAGGGCUCGUAGGUGGCCAACUAAGUCAGACGUGAAAUCCCCGGGCUUAACCUGGGGACUGCAUUUGUGACUGGCAAGCUAGAGUAUGGCAAAGGGGGGUAGAAUUCCACGUGUAGCAGUGAAAUGCGUAGAGAUGUGGAGGAAUACCGAUGGCGAAGGCAGCCCCCUGGGCCAAUACUGACGCUCAUGCACGAAAGCGUGGGGAGCAAACAGG
rnacentral:rRNA from 1 species